ACUUUAGAAAUAAGGAAAAAAAUUUAAGACAAAAAAUAAACAUGCAAAAACACAAACAAACCCAAAAACAUAAUCGUCAAAGUUAUAAAAAAUAAACGUGGUUAUGUUUCUAUUAAUAUAAUCUUAGAUAUUUUUGAUAUGAAACUCCUUAUAUUUAUUUAUUUUUAGAUAUUUCUCAUAAGAAAAUCCUUUUAAUCUUAUUCCUUCAUUUUUAGUUUCCUAUUUCAUGUCAUUAUGGCGUCGAUAUCCUAGGUGUUGUGACGCCAGUUUGAAAACAAAUCAAUCAAUCAAUCAAUCCUCCUCUCACAUACCAAACACUCAGUUACUCGUCCAUUUUCAAGGUGGACGGAUCAGGAAAAGUCAACGCCACUGCCGUGGAAUCGAAACUAACCGAAAUGCUCAACGCUAACAAAGGUGAUGACGUCACAGAUACUCAAGUUCAGGAAAUCGUCAAGGAAGUGCCUCGAUGCAUCACGGAGGCUGGUGGAGACAAUCUCGAAAUGCGAGACUUCCACCAUUGCAUGAAGGACGCCUGCGCGACUGCACUGUCUGCUUAGAAAGAAACCUGGAGCUUUCCUUCUGCAAGGACCAUCGGCAACAAAAUUCUGGAUUGCUGCUGACCAUGUGCAAUGACCUGGCUUUGAUAGAUUACUUAACCAGCUAAAGUAGAAAAGUAUCUUCACGAUGAAAAAUAGAACUAGUGUCUCAUUACCACUUUCAAGGAUAGACUUUAGACCAUUAAAAUUUUGGCAAUAAUACA